GAUGAAGAACGUAGCGAAAUGCGAUAAGUAAUGUGAAUUGCAGAAUUCAGUGAAUCAUCGAAUCUUUGAACGCACAUUGCGCCCGCCAGCAUUCUGGCGGGCAUGCCUGUUCGAGCGUCAUUUCAACCCUCGAGCCCCCCCGGGGGCCUCGGUGUUGGGGGACGGCACACCAGCCGCCCCCGAAAUGCAGUGGCGACCUCGCCGCAGCCUCCACUGCGUAGUAGCACACACCUCGCACCGGAGCGCGGAGACGGUCACGCCGUAAAACGCCCAACUUCUUAGAGUUGACCUCGGAUCAGGUAGGAAUACCCGCUGAACUUAAGCAUAUCAUAAGCGGAGGA
rnacentral:misc_RNA from 1 species